UAGAACGCACAGUUUAUACCGUAGCUUGCUACACCAUAGACUGUGAGUUGCGAACGGGUGAGUAACGCGUAGGUAACCUGCCUGGUAGCGGGGGAUAACUAUUGGAAACGAUAGCUAAUACCGCAUAAUAUUAAUUAUUGCAUGAUAAUUGAUUGAAAGGUGCAAUUGCACCACUACCAGAUGGACCUGCGUUGUAUUAGCUAGUAGGUGAGGUAACGGCUCACCUAGGCGACGAUACAUAGCCGACCUGAGAGGGUGAUCGGCCACACUGGGACUGAGACACGGCCCAGACUCCUACGGGAGGCAGCAGUAGGGAAUCUUCGGCAAUGGACGAAAGUCUGACCGAGCAACGCCGCGUGAGUGAAGAAGGUUUUCGGAUCGUAAAGCUCUGUUGUAAGAGAAGAACGGGUGUGAGAGUGGAAAGUUCACACUGUGACGGUAUCUUACCAGAAAGGGACGGCUAACUACGUGC
rnacentral:rRNA from 1 species